rnacentral:rRNA from 1 species
CCCCAAACCCAAUGUGAACCAUACCAAACUGUUUGCCUCGGCGGGGUCACGCCCCGGGUNNNUCGCAGCCCCGGAACCAGGCGCCCGCCGGAGGGACCAACCAAACUCUUUUCUGUAGUCCCCUCGCGGACGUUAUUUCUUACAGCUCUGAGCAAAAAUUCAAAAUGAAUCAAAACUUUCAACAACGGAUCUCUUGGUUCUGGCAUCGAUGAAGAACGCAGCGAAAUGCGAUAAGUAAUGUGAAUUGCAGAAUUCAGUGAAUCAUCGAAUCUUUGAACGCACAUUGCGCCCGCCAGUAUUCUGGCGGGCAUGCCUGUCCGAGCGUCAUUUCAACCCUCGAACCCCUCCGGGGGGUCGGCGUUGGGGAUCGGGAACCCCUAAGACGGGAUCCCGGCCCCRAAAUACAGUGGCGGUCUCGCCGCAGCCUCUCCUGCGCANUANUUUGCACAACUCGCACCGGGAGCGCGGCGCGUCCACGUCCGUAAAACACCCCAACUUCUG